rnacentral:rRNA from 1 species
GGAUGAACGCUGGCGGCGUGCCUAAUACAUGCAAGUCGAGCGAACAGACGAGGAGCUUGCUCCUCUGACGUUAGCGGCGGACGGGUGAGUAACACGUGGAUAACCUACCUAUAAGACUGGGAUAACUUCGGGAAACCGGAGCUAAUACCGGAUAAUAUAUUGAACCGCAUGGUUCAAUAGUGAAAGACGGUUUUGCUGUCACUUAUAGAUGGAUCCGCGCCGCAUUAGCUAGUUGGUAAGGUAACGGCUUACCAAGGCAACGAUGCGUAGCCGACCUGAGAGGGUGAUCGGCCACACUGGAACUGAGACACGGUCCAGACUCCUACGGGAGGCAGCAGUAGGGAAUCUUCCGCAAUGGGCGAAAGCCUGACGGGGCAACGCCGCGUGAGUGAUGAAGGUCUUCGGAUCGUAAAACUCUGUUAUUAGGGAAGAACAAAUGUGUAAGUAACUAUGCACGUCUUGACGGUACCUAAUCAGAAAGCCACGGCUAACUACGUG